UGGGAGGACACUGGGAGGACACUGGGAUGGCACAGCGAGGACAUUUUUACUGCUGGGUUUUCCCACCUGAGCCCAACACAACUGGGGGAAAUUUCUGUGCCUGCAAGAGGUUCAAACUUUGAGUCUCAAACUUUGAGGUUUGAAACUUCGAGGUCCAAACUUUGAGGUUUGAAACUUCGAGGUCCAAACUUCGAGGCUCAAACUUUGAGGUCCAAACUUUGAGGCUCAAACUUCGAGGCUCAAACUUUGAGGUUUGAAACUUCGAGGUCCAAACUUUGAGGUCCAAACUUCGAGGUCCAAAAUUUGAGGUCCAAACUUCGAGGCUCAAACUUCGAGGCUCAAACUUUGAGGUUCAAACUCUGAGGUCCAAACUUUGCCCCGUGUUUACUUUCCUGGCUGCCUCAGUGCAUUAAAAGCUGUCAGCACCUCCGCUGGGGAUUUAUUUGGGCAUUAAAAAGGGCCCGGGGCGGGCGGAUGCAGACACUCGGCAGCUCCCUGGAAAAUGUGCCUGCAGCACAAACCCAGCCUCUGCACACAGCUCACCCUUUAAUAAGUGCAUUUAAUUAAAGUCAUAUAACUCUUUUUUUUAUUAUUAUUAUUAAAAAGGAGGGAGAGGAGGGGAGGGAUAAUAAAAAAAAAAAAAAAGUGGGGCCUGCUGAGCUGCAAGCAAAGGUUGUGAUACAAAGAGGGGGUUUAGAGCGAGGGUUUAAUGGAAAAGUCAUCAGCAAUGUGUUGUGUUGCUCCUUAUUCCCAGCCUUGCUUGGGGUUGGGGAGAGAAUUUGAAGGGAUUUCUGAAUUUCCAGGCUGCCGUUUCCCCCCUCUCCCCAUCCACUUCCCUGCUGUUGAAAUUCUGUAGAAUUAUGAAUUUUUCCAAGCCCAGUUGCCAAACUCUGUUGCUGUUGGAUGGAGCCGCCGUUGCUUUCCCUGCUUGUUUAACCUUUUCUUUCUUUUCCU